GGGAAUGUUUGAGGAUUUCAUUACUCAAAAUUAUGUACGUGAAAAGCACUUUGUAAAUUGCAAAAUGCUACACAAAGAUUAAUUUAUUAAACUCAAAAUUUUGAAGAAAAACAGUCAUUUGGGAACCUAGAAUUUCUGAGAUUUCAAGCUCUGAGGGAUGUUUAGUUAAGUUUCCCAGAAAACCCUAAGGAAGGGGACACAGGGACCAGUAGGCACCACCUGUAUGAGACCAACUCCAGCCACAUCCAGCUUCAGGGGUUUCCGGUGUCUUCCCUGGGACCUGUGCCCUGCCUGUUUCUAGCCCUUCUCUCACCCAGACACCGAUUUUCUUUGCGAUGGAGGCCAAAGAACUUGCUGCUGAUGGCAUAACCCAGUCGUCCCACUCUGGUCCUGCUCCCUAUUUGCUUGGAGACAGUGUAUCACCAGAGAUGGAGAGGGCCCCCAGCACUCACUGGAGUUUUCAUUCAUUGCUAUUCUCUGCAACAGCAUUGGAGAGCUGACAAACUCAGACGGUAAAGAAUCCACCUGCAAUGUGGGAGACCUGGGUUUGAUCCCCGGAUUGAGAAGAUCCCCUGGAGAACAGCAUGGCAACCGACUCCAGUAUUCUUGCCUGGAGAAUCCUCAUGGACAGAGGAGCCUGGCAGGCUAUAGUCAGUGGGGUCGCAAAGAGUCAGACAUGACUGAGCAAUUCCAGGUGCAAUCCAGCAUGGUGGGAAUCACUUUAGCCGGGACUUAAAGGCCUGCAGGCCAUUUUCCUGAGAGGCUGGAGACAGGGAACUCUUCCACAGAAACUGAGAGAGCCCUAGAGCCAUCAUCGACUCUGGUCCUGGUGGGUGGACUCGUCUGAGCAACUGCCAGCUUGGGCUGCUUUCCCACAGAAGGGCCUCUAUUAUUUUAUGCAGUUCAUCUCCGAGUAUUCCAGCGGGAACUCCCACCACUGCUUUUGAAUUUACAGACUCCUCUGUGGGGAUUUUUCGCCCUGCCAGUCAACUUAAAUCUUCCUUUGUUCAGACUCUUUCCUCGUCCUCUGUUCUUACCCCUUCAGCACGACCACAACCUCAAGAAUGUGAUCUUUGCACAAAACAUUCUAUCAAAUCCAGCAAAAAGCCUCAAUAGACCACUUCUAGUGCUUGAGAUUUUUGUUUGUUCCUCUGGUUUUUUUUUUUGGCUAGCAAUGCCACCUUCAUCAGGUUCUUGGAUAUGGGUAUAUCUUCCGUGGCUUCUGUGGCAUUUCUAAGCUGUAGAUUUAGAUUUAAAGGUGUUAUAAAAAAUUUGUAACUUUCUUGAACUAAAAAGCUACAUAAAAAUCCAUAUUUGAAAUAUUGAUAUUCU
ensembl:lncRNA